CCCUCCUUUCUAAGGAUUUUUACAUGACGUACGUUUUGACACUUUGUUCAGUUUUGAGAGUUCAAUCUCUCAAUUAUAGAAAGCACACUACUUUCUUCUUAUCUGAUAAGAAGAAUUUUGGUUGCGAUUGUUCUUUGAAAACUAGAUAACAGUAAUUGCUGAGGAAAAGUGAAACUUUUCUUUAAUCAAAUCAAUAAAUAACACAACAUUAUGUUGUACCAUUUAUUCGCUAAUGGUUAAGUUAGAAAGGGCGCACGGUGAAUGCCUUGGCACUAGGAGCCGAUGAAGGACGGGACUAACACCGAUAUGCUUCGGGGAGCUGUAAGUGAGCUUUGAUCCGGAGAUUUCCGAAU
rnacentral:misc_RNA from 1 species